GCGAGCUAAAAAAAAUGGGGUUUGCGCUGGUGGUAGUAACCAACCAGUCUGGCAUUGCUCGCGGUAAAUUUACCGAAGCACAGUUUGAAACGCUGACCGAGUGGAUGGACUGGUCGCUGGCGGACCGAGAUGUCGAUCUGGAUGGUAUCUAUUAUUGCCCGCAUCAUCCGCAGGGUAGUGUUGAAGAGUUUCGCCAGGUCUGCGACUGCCGUAAACCACAUCCGGGGAUGCUUUUGUCAGCACGCGAUUAUUUGCAUAUUGAUAUGGCCGCUUCUUAUAUGGUGGGCGAUAAAUUAGAAGAUAUGCAGGCAGCGGCUGCGGCGAACGUGGGAACAAAAGUGCUGGUGCGUACGGGUAAACCUAUUACGCCUGAAGCAGAAAACGCGGCGGAUUGGGUGUUAAAUAGCCUGGCAGACCUGCCGCAAGCGAUAAAAAAGCAGCAAAAACCGGCAUAAUGAUUAAAAGAUGAACGAUUGAAAUAAAAAUGCAUUUUUCCACUUGUCUUCCUGAGACGACUCCCUAUAAUGCGCCUCCAUCGACACGGCGGAUGUGAAUCACUUCACACAAACAGCCGGUUCGGUUGAAGAGAAAAAUCCUGAAAUUCAGGGUUGACUCUGAAAGAGGAAAGCGUAAUAUACGCCACCUCGCGACAGUGCGCUAAAGCGCGUCGCAACUGCUCUUUAACAAUUUAUCAGACAAUCUGUGUGGGCACUCGAAGAUACGGAUUCUUAACGUCGCAAGACGAAAAAUGAAUACCAAGUCUCAGGAGUGAACACGUAAUUCAUUACGAAGUUUAAUUCUUUGAGCAUCAAACUUUUAAAUUGAAGAGUUUGAUCAUGGCUCAGAUUGAACGCUGGCGGCAGGCCUAACACAUGCAAGUCGAACGGUAACAGGAAGAAGCUUGCUUCUUUGCUGACGAGGGGCGGACGGGUGAGUAAUGUCUGGGAAACUGCCUGAUGGAGGGGGAUAACUACUGGAAACGGUAGCUAAUACCGCAUAACGUCGCAAGACCAAAGAGGGGGACCUUCGGGCCUCUUGCCAUCGGAUGUGCCCAGAUGGGAUUAGCUAGUAGGUGGGGUAACGGCUCACCUAGGCGACGAUCCCUAGCUGGUCUGAGAGGAUGACCAGCCACACUGGAACUGAGACACGGUCCAGACUCCUACGGGAGGCAGCAGUGGGGAAUA
rnacentral:rRNA from 1 species